GCCCAUAUAUUCUUACGCUUCUACAAUCUUCUUGUACAAUUGAUCCUGUAGAAAUAUGUGCACAAGUGCAAAAUAACUUCUGUAUUUUAUAAUUAUUGUUUGAAUUAGCAUGAGGCUGGUACAGCUAUAUAAUGGAAUGCUAUACACUCAUAAAAGUGGUUGACCUAGGGGGACAGGGAAGGAGGGAGGCAGUUUUCACUGUAUAUUCUUAUUUAUUUUUUUUAAUAAAUUUUGAGUCAUACAUACACAUUACUUUUUCAAAUAAAUAUGAUUAAGUUAGAAAAGAAAAACAAAUUAAAUAUACAGAAAUGAUACACUUUACUAGUCUUAGCAUAUUGAUUAGACGUUUGGUUAGUGCUACUGAUAUUAUUUUAAAUUACAGUAGCCCCCCUCCCUUAUCUGCAGUUUCACUUUCUAUCAUUUCAGCUCCUUUCAGUCAACCAUAGUCCAAAUGCAGGUGGGUACAGUACAGAAUAAAAAGAUAUUUGAGAGUGAGUAAGACCACGUUCACCAACUUUUAUUACAGUAUAUUGUUAUAAGUCUUCUAUUUUAUUAUUGUUAAUCUCUUACUCUGUCUUGUUUAUAAAUCAAAUGUUAUCACAGGUAUGUACAUAUAGGAAAAAACAUAGUAUGUAUAUAUAGGGUUUGGUACUCUGCGGUUUCAAGCAUCCACUUAAGGUCUUGGGAAGGCAUCCCUGUUGGAUAAGGGGGGGACUACUGUACAAACAGCAGGGUAAAUGAUUUCGUAGCCUCAAAGUUGAACAAAGUUUUGAAAUUUAAAAAUGUGAGGACUACACUUCUUAUAGCUACAGAUAAAAAUCCACAUAUGGCAAGUUGUAUUCAAGGUAAUCAAUGGGCAGAAGUCUAGACUAGACUGUUUAGAGGUCAAGAACUAAUUUUAUCUUGAUUUGGAAGUAAAUUCCCUAAAAAAAGAGUCUCCAACUUAACCUCACUGGUGUAGGAACCCAUUUUCCUUUCCUACAUCACUGUUGCUGGGGCUAUGUUUCACCUUAAAACCCUUUAGCUGCAGCUAGAACUCUGGUCCUCUCACUCCCUAAUACAGCAAAGGAUUCUGCCUUGCUUCUCCAGGGUAAAUAAAGAGAGCUUUUCCUAGCCUUAGAAAUUAAGACGGGGAGGUCCUCUGCCGCUGGGAAAGGGGUUGAAAGAAAAGAAAUUAAAAUGAAGGUAAUCUUCAGUGUUUUUCAAACCAUGGGUUGCAGUAUCAAUUCAGUAGGUGCAGUCAGCAUUUAAAAAAAGAACUCAAUAUGUUCCAAAUGUUUCAGUGAAAUAUAUAAUGGGCUGCAAAAUAAAAUGUUCUUUUUCCUGUCAGAAAAGUUUAAAACCACUAGACAACAUCACCUUUAAGGCCACUUUCUAGUUCCAUUAACACAUGUGAAAUGAUGUACUUACAACUAAGAACCAGUACAGUGAUAGUGAAAAGGAGGGAGUGUGGCAUUAUUGAGAAAACCUGGGUUUAAGAUCUGACUUUACAGAUGAAAUUUCCAUACAGUUGAAAAUGGUAAUACUAUAGUUCUGCUCUAUGGUCACCUAAAGUAGCUUGUGGAGGCCAGACAGCUCAGACAUAUUUGUAACACCAAAUUUUUAAAAACCCAUUAUUUAUUUUCUAGCCACCAGCAACAUAUCUUGGAUACUCAGAGCAGGAUUUUUCAAGUUUUGUUUUUGUUUUUAAACCACGGUUCAUUUAGAUGGCAGCAAAAAGACCACAUGGCCUAUCCAUACCAUUUGUUCCCACUUCCCAACAGAAAAAGCACCAUGUGAUAAAGAAUUGAGUUAAUAUUUAGGUCACCAGUAGUGUACAAUUAAGCAGAAAAUGAAAGUCCAUGGAGCUGUUCAUCAUUCACCACUAAAUCCUUUAAAAAGCUAUAGUAGACAGUAUGAUAGGCAGAAUCCUAAGAUGGCUCCUCAAGAUUCCUGGGCCUAGUAUGUACACAUACUUUCAGUUAAACAAACACUAACCUAGGUGGCCCCUGUGAAGGGACUUUGCAAAUAUAAUUACAAUCCAAAUCAGUUCAGCUUAAAAUAGUAAAAUUAUCCAGAUUAUCUGGGUGGGCCUGACCUAAUCAUAAGUUUUUUAAAAGCAGAGGUUUUGGCUGAUUGUGGUGGCUCAUGCCUGUAAUCCUAGCACUUUGGAGGCUGAGGCCAGAGGACUGCUUGAAGCCAAGAGUUAAUGACAGGCUGAGCAACAUAGCAGGACGCUGUUUCUACAAAAAAACAAACAAAAAUAAAAACAACAAAAAAAAUUAGCCAUGUAUGGUGGUGUGUCCCUGGAGUCCUAGCUAUAUGGGAGGCUAAUAAGGUGAAGAAUUGCUUGUGUCCAGGAGGUCAUGGCUGCAGUGGGUUAUGAUCACACCAAUGCACUCCAGCCUGGGCAACAGAGUGAGACCCUGUCUCUUAAAAAAAUUUUUUUUUUUCCUAGCAUGACUCAGAAGAGAAGUCAGAGAGAUGUGCUCUGGCUAACCUGGAAGAAGAAAGCAAACAAUGUAUGUUGUAAAUUGCCUAUGGUGACCCCAAGGCAAGGAACUUCAGGUGUCUUCUAGGAGCUGUGAGCUAGAAGGAAAAUGGAGGUAGAGGUCAUCAUCCUGCAACACCCACCUCCCACUCCCUACUCAAAAUGAAUUUUAUCAAAAACCAGCAAGCUUGGGUGAGGACAUGAGCCGCAGAUAAGCACUGCAGUCCUGCCCAAUACCUUGAUUUGAACACAGUGAGACCCUGAACAGACACACCAUGCCUAGACUUCUGACCUACAGAAAUGGAGAUAAUAAAUUUGUGUUGUUGUAAGCUGCUAAAUUAGCAGUAACUGUUACAAAGUAAUAAAAACUACUAGAGAUUCUCAGAGCCCUUAAAAACUCCACAAUCACUGCCCCAAGAGAGGAGAGACUAAAAUGUUAGAUAUAUUACAUUCUUAUUCAAUACCCUACAAGACAUUCUGGAAGUCUCUCAAGAAUUAUUGUAAGAAGUAGCUUUUGGCUGUGUGUGAUGCCUCAAGCCUGUAAUCUCAACGCUUUGGGGAGCUGAGGUGGGAGGAUCACUUGAGUUCAGGAGUUUGAAACCAGCCUAGGCAAC
rnacentral:lncRNA from 1 species